GAGGUGGUGCAGUGGCCGUCGUCAGUUCGUACUGUGAAGCAUCCUGUUAAAGUCAGGCAACGAGCGAGACCCACGUCCACAGUUGCCAGCAUACCCUCCGGGGGUGAUGGGUACACUGGUGGAGACCGCCGCUGCUAAAGCGGAGGAAGGAGUGGGCAACGGUAGGUCAGUAUGCCCCGAAUCUCCCGGGCUACACGCGGGCUACAAUGGUUGGUACAAUGGGCAUCUACCCCGAAAGGGGAAGGAAAUCUCUUAAAGCCAAUCGUAGUUCGGAUUGAGGGCUGCAACUCGCCCUCAUGAAGCUGGAAUCCGUAGUAAUCGCGUUUCAACAGAACGCGGUGAAUACGUCCCUGCUCCUU
rnacentral:rRNA from 1 species